AUUCUUGUUGUGCAACUGGCAGUAGGUCCCGCUAACAAUGGGGAGAUCCAUGGUUCGAAUCCGUGCGAGAACG
rnacentral:tRNA from 1 species